UACGGAGGAUGCAAGCGUUAUCCGGAAUGAUUGGGCGUAAAGCGUCCGCAGGUGGCAAUGUAAGUCUGCUGUCAAAGCGUCUGGCUCAACCAGAUAAAGGCAGUGGAAACUACAUAGCUAGAGUAAGGUAGGGGUAGAGGGAAUUCCUGGUGUAGCGGUGAAAUGCGUAGAGAUCAGGAAGAACACCGGUGGCGAAAGCGCUCUGCUGGGCCGUAACUGACACUGAGGGACGAAAGCUAGGGGAGCGAAUGGG
rnacentral:rRNA from 1 species